rnacentral:hammerhead_ribozyme from 1 species
AUCCAGCUGAUGAGUCCUAAAUAGGAUGAAGUGGCGCGAAUCCUGGAU